GUGUAGCUCAGUGGUAGAGCAUAUGCUUAGCAUGCGUGAAGUCCUGGGUUCAGUCCCCAGUAC
rnacentral:tRNA from 1 species